rnacentral:rRNA from 1 species
AGAGUUUGAUCAUGGCUCAGGAUGAACGCUGGCGGCGUGCCUAACACAUGCAAGUCGAACGUGAUCCCGUUUUCGGAUGGGUGAAAGUGGCGAACGGGUGAGUAACACGUUGGUGACCUGCCCCGAAGAGGGGGAUAACUCUGGGAAACCAGAGCUAAAACCCCAGAUGUUUAAGAGUUUAGACGUCUUAAACUAAAACUGAGGUGCUUCGGGAGGGGCCUGCGGGCUAUCAGCUAGUUGGUGGGGUAAAGGCCUACCAAGGCGAAGACGGCUAGGGGGCGUGAGAGCGUGACCCCCCACAAUGGAACUGAGAAACGGUCCAUACUCCUACGGGAGGCAGCAGUGAGGAAUAUUGCACAAUGGGCGCAAGCCUGAUGCAGCAACGCCGCGUGGAUGAUGAAGGCCUUCGGGUUGUAAAAUCCUUUUCUGGGGAAAGAUAAUGACGGUACCCCAGAAUAGU